rnacentral:rRNA from 1 species
GACGAACGCUGGCGGCGGGCUUAACACAUGCAAGUCGAACGGAAAGGCCCUGCUUUCGUGGGGUGCUCGAGUGGCGAACGGGUGAGUAACACGUGAGUAACCUGCCCUUGACUUUGGGAUAACUUCAGGAAACUGGGGCUAAUACCGGAUAGGAGCUCCCGCUGCAUGGUGGGGGUUGGAACGUUUCGGCGGUUGGGGAUGGACUCGCGGCUUAUCAGCUUGUUGGUGGGGUAGUGGCUUACCAAGGCUUUGACGGGUAGCCGGCCUGAGAGGGUGGCCGGCCACAUUGGGACUGAGAUACGGCCCAGACUCCUACGGGAGGCAGCAGUGGGGAAUAUUGCACAAUGGGCGGAAGCCUGAUGCAGCAACGCCGCGUGCGGGAUGACGGCCUUCGGGUUGUAAACCGCUUUCGCCUGUGACGAAGCGUUAGUGACGGUAAUGGGUAAAGAAGCACCGGCUAACUACGUG